rnacentral:sRNA from 1 species
UAUAAAAAUAAAGAUGAAGCAAACUUAGAUUUAGACACAAGGAUGAGUCUUUUUUCAACCAAGGGAGCAUGACACGGAUGUCAAAGAAAUAAUUAAGGAAGGAUUGGGGCAAGAUUUUGAAGAAGUUUGAACAACCAAUUCUGGGAUUUUCUUAUCUUCAAGUUUAGUAUUAUUUUUCUUUCUAAGUUUAAAAUAUUACAUUCUAAGUUUAGAGAUUACUAUUGUGUUUAACUUUAUUUCCUAUAAUGACAAGCCCAAUAUAACCUUUAUUCACACCUUUUUUUUUGGUGAUUAAAAAAAUAAGAGACUUGGUUCGUUUUUUCUGAGAAGAGCUAUCUUCUUUGAGUGAUCUUUAUCUCCAGUCUUUUCUUGAAGUGGUAAGCCUUAGUCCUGCUUUGUAUCUUGAGGAAAUUGUUUGUGAGUGGUGAUCACUAACAUCCUGUAAUCAUCGUUGUUUUUUCGCAGAAUCAGUUUUGUUGCUGUGAUUUUUCGGCAUCAGAUUAGCAACAAAAAUGACAUCGUUAUUUUCAUCGCUAA